GGAGGAUUCGUCUAGCGGCUAGGACUCAAGAUUUUCAUUCUUGCAACAGGGGUUCGAUUCCCCUAUCCUCUACCA
rnacentral:tRNA from 4 species